rnacentral:rRNA from 1 species
GUCGAGAAUCUUUCACAAUGGGGGCAACCCUGAUGGAGCGACGCCGCGUGGAGGAUAAGGUCUUCGGAUUGUAAACUCCUGUCAUGCGUGAACAAGGUUGCUUGGUUAAUACCUGGGCAAAUUGAUGGUAACGCAAGAGGAAGAGACGGCUAACUCUGUGCCAGCAGCCGCGGUAAUACAGAGGUCUCAAGCGUUGUUCGGAAUCACUGGGCGUAAAGGGUGCGUAGGUGGCGUGGUAAGUCAGAUGUGAAAGCCCGGGGCUCAACCUCGGAACUGCUUCCUAUACUGCCAUGCUAGAGUACUGGAGAGGUGACUAGAAUUCUCGGUGUAGCAGUGAAAUGCGUAGAUAUCGAGAGGAAUACCAAAGGCGUAGGCAGGUCACUGGACAGUUACUGACACUGAGGCACGAAGGCCAGGGGAGCGAACGGGAUUAGAAACCCCAGUAGUCC